rnacentral:tRNA from 1 species
GCCGAAGUGGUGAAAUGGUAGACACAUCAGACUCAAAAUCUGACGAGCUUAGGCUCUUGCGGGUUCAAGUCCCGCCUUCGGUA